AUCUUUGUGGUUUCGUUAAACAUUUUCCUCUUCCUCUCACUAAACAUGGUGGCUCUCAGUGGACUUUUUCACAAGUUUUCUCGCCUGGCAAAAUGCGUUUCUCUGAAGCAACACAGGACGUACAAGAAAUUGCGUAUUUUAGUUUGUUGUAACAGAGAGGGGAGAAAGAGUCAGGCAGUGUCAGAUGGAGAGCUGAACAUGACUGCGCGGGGCUGCGGAGGCAGCAGCUCCAGCCUUCCAGGGACCCCAGGAGGGGACGUCAACUCCGCCAACAGUGUGCUGAGCUGGGCCGUCUCUUUUGAGAAGCUGUUGGAAGACCCCCAUGGGGUCUGUUACUUUACGGCCUUUUUAAAGUCCGAAGUGAGUGCAGAGAACAUUUUAUUCUGGCAAGAAUGUGAAAAGUUCAGGAAGAUUCCAGCCACAUCUUUGGAUCAGUUGAAAGCAGCAGCUCGCUCCAUCUAUGGCACUUACCUGUCUGACAGCGCUCCCUACAGUGUGAACAUCGAUGACACUGCCAAGACAGAGGAGAAGGAUCUGGAGAAACCCACUCCUGACAUGUUUAACAAAGCUCAGGCUCAGAUUUUUAAAUUGAUGAAGAUGGACAGCUACCGGCGCUUUGUGCGCUCUCCUCUCUAUCAGCGAUGCAGCUUGGCAAGUGUAGAAGGUAAACAUCUACCUCAGCUCUCGACAGAGCCCGUCCGCAUGGGGUCAUGGGACGACAUGGCCAACAAGAGCCCCACAAGUGACAAGAAGAACAGGAAGUCCGACUCCAAUAGUCUACCAAGUGGUACUAGUGUCUCAGAGAAACAGCGACAGAAAAGAGGAUCCUGGGGAGAUGCAUCAAACGGCUCAGGUCCUCUGAAGCAGUCAAAUAUGUCGAUCAAAUCAACCAGCAGUGUGGAGCUUGGCUCCCUCUGCAGACAGAUGGAGAACGGUCGGCCGGGUCCCACCUCCCGCGAUCAGGCUGCUGGCAUCGGGAGCCGUAUGGGGGUGGAGGGGGGUUACUGCUGUGUCUACCUGCCCGACGGCAGCGCCUCCCUGGCCCCUACACGUAAUGGGCAGCCCAUCAAGGACAUGCUGGCCAGCCUGUGUGAGAAAAGGGGCUUCCCAUUAAAAGACGUGAUGAUUUACCUUCAUGGCAAGGACAAGCCCUUGUCACUGGACCAGGACUGCUCCGUGCUGAGAGAUCAACAGGUCUCUCUUGAGCUCAGGGUGACAUUUGCGUUGGAGAAUGCCUUUACUGGUAAAACAGUGGGAAUCAUGGUGAAGUCCAGUAAAACACUGCAGGACGCCCUCUGUUCAGUGAUGCAAAAGCACCAUCUAAAGCCGCAAGAGACAGCGGUAACCAUGGUUGGAAGUGACGAGCCUGUGAACCUGAACUGCUCUGUGUUCAGACUAGCCAAUAAGACGCUGCGGUUGGAAAGAGCCAAAGGUAAAGAGCAGACCAUUAUUCCCAGAGGAGGGAGUUCUUCUCCUACUGCACAGGCGGGAUCAGGGAGUGGAGGCCUGGAGCCUCGAUCAUCGACUCAGACCGACAGAGUCCGGACGCAGCAGAGACCCAGUAAGAACCGCGACAUGGACGGAUUUCUGGACAUGCUGACCAGAGCUCAGUGCUGCAGAGUAGAUGACCAGCGAGGCCUUCUGACCAAAGAACAACUAGAGAUCCCUUCAUUCCUGCAGCUUUCUUCAGACCAGGGACAGAAUACAGACGAUUCAAGUGUAACCAGCUCUUCCACUACCGACUCCAAAACAGAGUCAGGGGACAAUGCAGAUGUUCUGGCUCCAGCUCCAGCUCCGGCUCCAGCUUCGGCUCCAGCUCCAGCUCCAGCCAAUAAAUCUGAGGAAAGUUCUGAUGCUCCUAAAUCUGAAUCUAAAGACUUGAGGGAAACAACAGUUUGACGCAGAAUUGUGUGGAAAGACAAAGUCUUAAAACCCAUUGCAUAUCUAACAGAAAUGUGAUCUGAUUUAUGUAAAAAGAUAGUUGUUGGUCCAGAUGCACUUUCUUUAAUGAAUAAGCUCACACUUGGCAGUAUUUUCUUUGGCCUCAGCCUUUGAUCAAAUGGGCUUUUGAAGGCAAGUGUAGAUGGGUGAAAACAUUCUGGCAAACAUUUGUGUAAUUUUUAAAACACUACAGAUCUUCCCUGGAGAAUGUUUGCUACGAAUCUAUACUGUACCCAUAAAUGCAUAAAACGUUUGACCUUAAAAUUGCACCCUGAAACAUGUUGUACAGAUUAAUUCACCCUCGAACCUGCAGUCGACUCUAAAGCUUACGUGUAUGUCUGCAGAGGAAGCAUGGACUGUUCUGAGUAGCCCUGUUAAACGUGCCUUGCAUGUCUGUGUCUUAUGAUGUCUAAAUAUUUUAUGAAGAUUAGCUUUUAUUACUUGAAAUAUGUGUUUUCUUGUGUGGGCACUUGUUUAUUUGUAAUGCAUGUUUUGCAUGGUUUGUUGUGAAGGCACUUUGUGAAGCUCUGGUCAUGCCUCGUUCCCUGCCACUUCCAAUUGCAUUUCGGGAUUCCUAAAGUUAAAGGGUGACAGAUUCAGUGUUAUGUUACCUAGCAAAACUUUCAACCGACUCUGUUAAUUUGUUUGCUAUGAAAGGCGUUAUAUUUUUCAAUAAAUCCGAGGUCGGUUUCUGCCUGAAAGAACUGGUUCGUGAUUUGGUUUAAAUUAUACAUUCAGCGUGCUGUAAGAUGACUCGAGCUCAGUGGAGUGACUGGAUGAGUCAUGCUCAACAAUACAAGACUGAUCCAUCUGAGUACCUGCAAACUCUUUUUAUAUAUCCAUUUUUUUUUUUUUUUGGUUUAUCCUGAUAAAGGAAAACUUCCUCCUACAUGUAACGUCAGUGAUGAUGAUCUUUGCAGAGUUAUGAUUGGUUCCUUGGAUAAGUUUGUAGCGAAUGAACUGCUUUUUAUUUCCCAAGACUUGUUGCUGGAUGUGGGUUUGCCAUUUUUCUGUGAUGGCUAGGCAUUAUGCGAGUUACAAAACCUAUUAGAUGACUCAUGGAUGAUCUCAUCCCCCUGGAUGACGUCAGCAGUGUAUAUAUUUCAUAGUAUGUGGCAGCACGUGGUUUUGGAAUGCAUCCCAUCUAACAUGCUUGUUUAGACCAUUACAUGCAAUUGUUAUGGUUGCAAUUAAGCUCGAGAAAAUGAACGGCACUACAUUAAUGUGCAAAGUGUUCAGACACCAUAGCACACCUGGCAUUUGCGUGUUUGUGUGUUUGCACGUCUAGUCGUGCGUGAGUGGUGCGUCGGUGGAGCUAUGAAUGGGCAGAGAGGGGUGUUCUCUCACACACAGCGUCACAGCUCUGGGAUGAGGAGUGCCAUCUACUCUACUGCACGUCUGCUGUGCUGCUGAGAGGAAAGAAGACAAAGGGGGAGAAAAGGAGCUUUACUGUUGUCCAAGAAUAUUCGAAAGCACAAGGCCACUCUUUAGCACUGACCUGGAAAAUCUCCACUUGGCCAUGGAGCAGAAGACAAAUGAGUGUCCCACCUCUACCUCUCCUCAGAAGCACAUGAAGAACAGGUCUAAAUCCACAGAGGAGAUGCAGCAGUCCAGGAAGGCAUUUUCCUCACAAAAGUCACUGCCAGGCAGGCCUGAUCUGGAAAAAGUGAAGGAGUGUCUCGAUGGCUCUGACACGCCUUCGUCCUCCACAGAAGAGUUGAAGUGACAAAUGGCAUCAACAUUGAGCCACAAAGUUGCGCAUAUAAAAUGUACAUAUGUCAACAAAGAAAAUGCUUAAUAUUUAUGAUCAUAGAUGGCUAGAAUCUACUCAAGCUGUGAAUUUCAGGCUGAAUCAACCUUAUCGGAAGUCUACAUCUGAUGAAGUUGUGUCAUUGUGCUGUGACUGAAAUAUAUGUGUAGUAAAAGUACAGUGAUGUUGUUGGAUAAA